UCUCCGUAGGUGAACCUGCGGAGGGAUCAUUACAGAGUUCAUGCCCUCACGGGUAGAUCUCCCACCCUGUGUUAUUAUACUUUGUUGCUUUGGCAGGCCGCCCGCGUGGGCUACCGGCUCCAGCUGGUAAGUGCCUGCCAGAGGACCCCAAACUCUGAAUAUUUUAUUGUCUGAGUACUACAUAAUAGUUUAAAACUUUCAACAACGGAUCUCUUGGUUCUG
rnacentral:misc_RNA from 1 species